rnacentral:rRNA from 1 species
UCCCUUCCGGGGGGGUGGUAGCGUGGCGCACGGGUGAGUAACACGUGGGUAAUCUGCCUUCGGGUGGGGGAUAACGGCGCGAAAGCGUCGCUAAUACCGCAUAACGCAGCGGCACCACAUGGUGACAGUUGUUAAAGGGGGGGAUCCUUUCGGGGACCUCCCGCCGGAAGAGGAGCCCGCGCUCGAUUAGCUAGUUGGUGAGGUAAUGGCUCACCAAGGCAGUGAUCGAUAGCCGGCCUGAGAGGGCGGUCGGCCACACUGGCACUGAGACACGGGCCAGACUCCUACGGGAGGCAGCAGUGGGGAAUUUUGGGCAAUGGGCGCAAGCCUGACCCAGCAACGCCGCGUGAGGGACGAAAUCCCUUCGGGAUGUAAACCUCGAAAGUUGGGGAAGAAAUCUUCAGGGAUAAUACCCCUGAGGGAUGACGGUACCCAACGUAAGCCCCGGCUAACUACGUGCCAGCAGCCGCGGUAAUACGUAGGGGGCAAGCGUUGUUCGGAAUUACUGGGCGUAAAGGGCGCGUAGGCGGCACGGCACGUCGGGAGUGAAAGCCCGGGGCUCAACCCCGGAAUGUCUCUCGAGACUGCCGAGCUAGAGUGCGGAAGAGGCACCUGGAAUUCCCAGUGUAGCGGUGAAAUGCGUAGAUAUUGGGAAGAACACCAGAGGCGAAGGCGGGGUGCUGGGCCGACACUGACGCU